GAGGGUAUAGCUCAGUGGUAGAGUGCUUGCCUAGCAUGCACAAGGUCCUGGAUUCAAUCCCCAGUACCUCCC
rnacentral:tRNA from 1 species